AGUGAAUAGACUACCCUGGUAGUCCCAGCUGUAAACGAUGCGCGUUAGGUGUAUCGGUGACCACGAGUCACCGAGGUGCCGAAGGGAAACCGUGAAACGUGCCGCCUGGGAAGUACGGUCGCAAGGCUGAAACUUAAAGGAAUUGGCGGGGGGAGCACCACAACAGGUGGAGCCUGCGGUUUAAUCGGACUCAACGCCGGGAAGCUCACCGGAUAAGACAGCUGAAUGAUAGCCGGGUUGAAGACUCUGCUUGACUAGCUGAGAGGAGGUGCAUGGCCGUCGUCAGUUCGUACUGUGAAGCAUCCUGUUAAGUCAGGCAACGAGCGAGACCCACGCCAACAGUUGCCAGCAUGUCCUCCGGGAUGGUGGGGACACUGUUGGGACCGCCUCUGCUAAAGAGGAGGAAGGAAUGGGCAACGGUAGGUCAGCA
rnacentral:rRNA from 1 species